CAGUCGCCGCGGUAAAACGGAGGGUGCAAGCGUUAAUCGGAAUUACUGGGCGUAAAGCGUGCGUAGGCGGUUCGUUAAGUCUGUUGUGAAAGCCCCGGGCUCAACCUGGGAAUGGCAAUGGAUACUGGCGAGCUAGAGUGUGUCAGAGGAUGGUGGAAUUCCCGGUGUAGCGGUGAAAUGCGUAGAGAUCGGGAGGAACACCAGUGGCGAAGGCGGCCAUCUGGGACAACACUGACGCUGAGGCACGAAAGCGUGGGGAGCAAACAGGAUUAGAUACCCGCGUAGUCCCUGUCUCUUAUAC
rnacentral:rRNA from 1 species